rnacentral:rRNA from 1 species
CCUACGGGGUGCAGCAGUGAGGAAUAUUGGUCAAUGGACGAGAGUCUGAACCAGCCAAGUAGCGUGAAGGAUGACUGCCCUAUGGGUUGUAAACUUCUUUUAUAUGGGAAUAAAACGUUCCACGUGUGGGAUUUUGUAUGUACCAUAUGAAUAAGGAUCGGCUAACUCCGUGCCAGCAGCCGCGGUAAUACGGAGGAUCCGAGCGUUAUCCGGAUUUAUUGGGUUUAAAGGGAGCGUAGGUGGAUUGUUAAGUCAGUUGUGAAAGUUUGCGGCUCAACCGUAAAAUUGCAGUUGAAACUGGCAGUCUUGAGUACAGUAGAGGUGGGCGGAAUUCGUGGUGUAGCGGUGAAAUGCUUAGAUAUCACGAAGAACUCCGAUAGCGAAGGCAGUUCACUGGACUGCAACUGACACUGAGGCUCGAAAGUGUGGGUAUCAAACAGGAUUAGAUACCCGAGUAGUC